UACGAAGGGGGCUAGCGUUGCUCGGAAUCACUGGGCGUAAAGGGUGCGUAGGCGGCUGUACAAGUCAAAGGUGAAAUCCCUCGGCUCAACUGAGGAACUGCCUUUGAAACUGUACGGCUUGAGGCCGGGAGGGGGUAGCGGAAUUCCCAGUGUAGCGGUGAAAUGCGUAGAUACUGGGAGGAACACCAGUGGCGAAGGCGGCUACCUGGACCGGUUCUGACGCUGAGGCGCGAAAGCGUGGGUAGCAAACAGG
rnacentral:rRNA from 1 species